GACGAACGCUGGCGGCGUGCUUAACACAUGCAAGUCGAACGGAACGUCCCUGCUUUUUUGGGGUGCUCUAGUUGCGAACUGGUGAGUAACACUUGAGUUCCCUGCCCUUGACUUUGGGAUAACUUCAUGAAACUUGGUCUAAUCCCGGAUAGGAGCUCCUGCUUCUUGGUGGGGGUUGGAAAGUUUCGCCGGUUGGUGAUGGACUCGCGUCGUAUCAGCUUGUUGGUUGGGUAGUGGCUUAGCAUGGCCUGGACGGGUAGCCGUCCUGAGAGGGUCACCGGACAAAUUGGGAUGGAGAUAAGGCACAGACUCCUACGGGAGGAAGCAGUGGGGAAUAGUGUACAAGGGGCGGAAGCAUGAUGCAGCAAAGCAGCGUGGGGGAUGAGGGGCAUGGGGUUGUAAACUGAUGCCGCCUGUGACGAAGCGUGAGUGACGGUAAUGGGUAAAGAAGCACCGGCUAACUCCGUG
rnacentral:rRNA from 1 species